rnacentral:ncRNA from 2 species
GGGAGUCCGCACGGGAGCCCGAGGCAAACGGGCUGAGAGGGAGCUGCCGCUCCGACCGUGGAACCUGAUCCGGGUCAUGCCGGCGCAGGGAGCGUGAUUCCACUGUGA